AACGAACGCUGGCGGCAUGCCUAACACAUGCAAGUCGAACGAGACCUUCGGGUCUAGUGGCGCACGGGUGCGUAACGCGUGGGAACCUGCCCUUAGGUUCGGAAUAACUCCCCGAAAGGGGUGCUAAUACCGGAUAAUGUCUUCGGACCAAAGAUUUAUCGCCUUUGGAUGGGCCCGCGUUGGAUUAGCUAGUUGGUAGGGUAAAAGCAUACCAAGGCGACGAUCCAUAGCUGGUCUGAGAGGAUGAUCAGCCACACUGGGACUGAGACACGGCCCAGACUCCUACGGGAGGGAGCAGUGGGGAAUAUUGGACAAUGGGCGAAAGCAUGAUGCAGCAAUGCCGCGUGAGUGAUGAAGGCCGUAGGGUUGUAAAGCUCUUUUACCCGUGAUGAUAAUGACAGUACCGGGAGAAUAAGCUCCGGCUAACUCCGUG
rnacentral:rRNA from 1 species